UACGUAGGGUGCAAGCGUUGUCCGGAAUUAUUGGGCGUAAAGGGCUCGUAGGCGGUCCAUCGCGUCGGGAGUGAAAAGCUGGGGCUUAACCCCAGUCCUGCUUCCGAUACGGGCAGACUAGAGGUAUGCAGGGGAGAACGGAAUUCCUGGUGUAGCGGUGAAAUGCGCAGAUAUCAGGAGGAACACCGGUGGCGAAGGCGGUUCUCUGGGCAUGAUCUGACGCUGAGGAGCGAAAGUGUGGGGAGCGAACAGG
rnacentral:rRNA from 1 species